GGGACUGUAGCUCAGCUGGUUAGAGCGCACCCUGAUAAGGGUGAGGUCGGAGGUUCGAGUCCUCUCAGUCCCA
rnacentral:tRNA from 1 species